rnacentral:misc_RNA from 1 species
GAUGAAGAACGUAGCGAAAUGCGAUAAGUAAUGUGAAUUGCAGAAUUCAGUGAAUCAUCGAAUCUUUGAACGCACAUUGCGCCCGCCAGUAUUCUGGCGGGCAUGCCUGUUCGAGCGUCAUUUCAACCAUCAAGCCCCCGGCUUGUGUUGGGGACCUGCGGCUGCCGCAGGCCCUGAAAUACAGUGGCGGGCUCGCUGUCACUCCGAGCGUAGUAGUUACAUCUCGCUCUGGGCGUGCUGCGGGUUCCGGCCGUUAAAAGCCUUAUUUACCCAAGGUUGACCUCGGAUCAGGUAGGAAGACCCGCUGAACUUAAGCAUAUCAAUAAGCGGAGGA